GACGAACGCUGGCGGCGUGCCUAAUACAUGCAAGUCGAACGCAUUUUCUUUCACCGUAGCUUGCUACACCGAAAGAAAAUGAGUGGCGAACGGGUGAGUAACACGUGGGUAACCUGCCCAUCAGCGGGGGAUAACACUUGGAAACAGGUGCUAAUACCGCAUAAUUCCAUUUACCGCAUGGUAGAUGGAUGAAAGGCGCUUUUGCGUCACUGAUGGAUGGACCCGCGGUGCAUUAGCUAGUUGGUGGGGUAACGGCCUACCAAGGCUGCGAUGCAUAGCCGACCUGAGAGGGUGAUCGGCCACACUGGGACUGAGACACGGCCCAGACUCCUACGGGAGGCAGCAGUAGGGAAUCUUCGGCAAUGGACGCAAGUCUGACCGAGCAACGCCGCGUGAGUGAAGAAGGUUUUCGGAUCGUAAAACUCUGUUGUUAGAGAAGAACAAGGAUGAGAGUGGAAAGUUCAUCCCUUGACGGUAUCUAACCAGAAAGCCACGGCUAACUACGUGCCAGCAGCCGCGGUAACAC
rnacentral:rRNA from 1 species